rnacentral:lncRNA from 1 species
CUUGGCUGCUUCCUCUUGCUUUUCUUUACUGGAAGAAAUUUUGUUACAGCUUUGAUCUCAUUACUUGUUAUAGAUCUGCUCAGGUUUUGGACUUUCUUCAUGGAUCAGUCUUGAGAAAACAGAAAGGAACCCUCAAAGUGUGACUGUAUAUGAUGCAGAAAAAUGGGGAAGUCUGGCUAAGGACUCUGUGAAUUGCAUGAAUAAGUCAUAAAUUGGAGAAGACAGAUUGAAAAAGAAGAACUUACUAAUUUAGAGGUGACUAAAUCCUGAAAGCCGAGUAAAAAUCCACAUGUAUCAAGUAUGCCAGGACAAGUACUGAAGGCAAAACAAUGUAAAAGGACAGUGCCUUACUCUGGGAGAGUCAGUGAUGCAAACUGCUUCUGAAGUUGGCUGUGAAGUUUUGAAAACUGCUCAAAUGAUUUUUCUGUCAGGCUUGUUUCGUUGUUGCUGUGUGUCACCUGGAUCAGAUACAGCUGCAGAAAGUAAAUAGAUAGAAAUCAAAAGAUGGCAAUAUCAGCCUGUGAUACACUCUAAAACCCGAUUUUAUGUAAACCAAACAAAGGAAGUACCUUUCUGCAAAACAUUAUCAUAAAAGCUAGGAGAUGCAUUUUGUAAAGGCAAAAUUAAAUAUAAAUAAUAUCUAAGAGUAUCACAAUUGUAUGUGCUAGGAACAGAUUGCCUAAUUUUUGCUGUUCUUGUGGACAUUUUAAUUAGUUCUUGAUUUAUACUCUACCACAGGGCAGGAAUUGUUCUCUUUGAUGGUUCUCUACUCAUAGUCUUGUUGUUAUGAUUUUUCCUUGGAACAUCCUCUUAAUGACACUUCUGCUUAAAUUGUAAAUUAUUUUUCAUUUGCUUAGUAAAAAAUUAUGCUAUAAGAAAGGCUGUGUAGCAUAGUGAAGAGAAGUCUGAGAUAAAGUCAAGUGAUACGUAAGUCAAGAUGAC